GCCAUUUAAUGAAUUUUGGGUCUUCUUCUUCCUCAUAACACCAAACAGAGAGUACGAAAGGGGCUGCGAUUUUAGGGUUUUCAAGGUUGUGAUUUUGGUGGUGAGAUUUUAGAGAGUACUUUGCAUCAAAACUUCUAUAUCUAUCAAUCACACAUUUGAGGUAAUUAAGUUUCUAAAAUUACAAUAAUAAGUUAUAUAUUGCUAGAUAUUUAGUGAUAUUUUAUUUAUUAUUUAUUAAUUUAUUUAUAUUGGUUUGUGGAUUUAAUAGCGAAUUCGAUUACUACUUGAAGUAAUUUUGCUAGCUUUUGGAUUAUUAAUGGCAAGAGGUAAAUAUAUAUUCUCUUACUUCUACUUUUAAUAUUAUUAAACAAAUGUUAGAGGGAGUUUGAAUAUCUUAAAUAUUCAUCCAUAGUGAAGUAGGUUCUGAGAUUAAAAUUGUGUGCUGCGGUGAUAACGGAAGGUUGAGAACUUGUGUGUAUUAGUGAAGUAGGUUCUGAGAAAUUUGACUGUGUGCUGCGGAGCUAUAAGGAAGAAACUUAUUGUAUGUUGUUUGAAUUGUUUGUUUUGCUAUUCACAUGUAGAUGGUUAGGUCACUAUUAUAGGGGAAAUGCUGCCCGAUUUUAUCUAGGAUAAUAAACAAUUAGUUUUAUAUAGACAUUCUAUAAGGAAGAAACUUAUUGUAUGUUGUUUGAAUUGUUUGUUUUGUUAUUCACAUGCAGAUGGUUAGGUCACUAUUAUAGGGGAAAUGCUGUCCGAUUUUAUUUAGGAUAAUAAACGAUUAGUUUUAUAUAGACAUCCAACUUUAUCACGUGCUUAUUUAGUGUCGUUUCUUUUCUUUUUGAUAGACAUAGGAGAAUAUAUGGAUAAACAGUGGAUGUCAGCGAAUA